GAUAAACGCUGGCGGCGUGCAUGAGACAUGCAAGUCGAACGAACAUCCCCGGGCUUGCCUGGGGCUGUUAGUGGCGAACGGCUGAGUAACGCGUGGGUGACCUGCCCGGAAGUGGGGAAUAACUGCCCGAAAGGGUGGCUAAUACCGCAUGUGGCCAUACGUUCGAUCGUAUGACCAAAGCCGCAAGGCGCUUCUGGAGGGGCCUGCGUUCGAUUAGCUCGUUGGUGGGGUAACGGCUCACCAAGGCGACGAUCGAUAGGUGGUCUGAGAGGAUGAUCACCCAGACUGGGACUGAGACACGGCCCAGACACCUACGGGAGGCAG
rnacentral:rRNA from 1 species